UACAGAGGUCUCAAGCGUUGUUCGGAUUCAUUGGGCGUAAAGGGUGCGUAGGCGGUUCGGUAAGUCGGGUGUGAAACCUCCAGGCCCAACCUGGAGACGCCACCCGAUACUGCUGUGACUAGAGUCCGGUAGGGGAGCGUGGAAUUCCUGGUGUAGCGGUGAAAUGCGCAGAUAUCAGGAGGAACACCAGCGGCGAAGGCGGCGCUCUGGGCCGGAACUGACGCUGAGGAGCGAAAGCGUGGGGAGCAAACGGG
rnacentral:rRNA from 1 species